rnacentral:rRNA from 1 species
AGCAGCCGCGGUAAUUCCAGCUCCAAUAGCGUAUAUUAAAGUUGUUGCAGUUAAAAAGCUCGUAGUUGAAUUUCGGGAUCAGUAGGUUGGUCGUGCCACUGGUAUGUACUGGUCUUACUGAUUCCUCCUUCUUGUGGAACUGUAAUGUCAUUAAUUUGGUGUUGCAGGAAAACAGGACUGUUACUUUGAAAAAUUAGAGUGUUUAAAGCAGGCUAACGCUUGAAUACAUUAGCAUGGAAUAAUGAAAUAGGACGUUUGAUCCUAUUUUGUUGGUUUCUAGGAUUGACGUAAUGAUUAAUAGGGAUAGUUGGGGGCAUUAGUAUUCAAUUGUCAGAGGUGAAAUUCUUGGAUUUAUUGAAGACUAACUACUGCGAAAGCAUUUGCCAAGGAUGUUUUCAUUAAUCAAGAACGAAAGUUAGGGGAUCGAAGACGAUCAGAUACCGUCGUAGUCUUAACCAUAAACUAUGCCGACUAGGGAUCGGAUGAUGUUAAUUUUUUAAUGACU